UACAGUAAAAAAAUGAGCGCGAAACCCUGACACUUUACAGAAAGGCACGGAUAUCCCCGCCCGAAGAAAAAAAGAACACAGGACAAUGGUUGCAAGUUAAACAGCUGAACAUUUCACCAUCUGCAAAGAACAUUUCACCAUCAACAUAUUAACAUAAACGGUUCUCUUUUUCUUGUUUGACUGCGUUUGGUACAGGUCACAACAACGACGGCAGAUGUAGAGACCACGCUUUCCCUUGCUUCCACUCCACGGCUGAUCAUGCUUGAGGAUCCAGAUCUACAAAACAAAAAAUGGAUGCUGCCGAUUGAAGGCUAAGUCCGAUUUCCUGCGAUUGCCCUACCAUUUCUUCAGCAUUUGCUGUUCACUUUGGUUGCUACUACGUGCUCAACAUCGAGUACCAUGUGCAAGCAGCCACUACUUUGGAGUUUAUUCAGAGAUUUAUUGUGAGGAUCAGACCCGACAACAGCAAGUGCUCCUCUAACUUCCAGGUGAGCAAAAGAAGUGGGAAGAUGGUGCAAAGGAAGAACUCUGGCCUGAACCAUCAUGUAUAUAUCCACCUUUAUUAA